rnacentral:lncRNA from 1 species
AUUCUGGUUUCGGCUCCAUUUGGGGCUUUGGUUGCAACUCCAUUUGCGGCUCCAUUUGCUGUUCCCGUUGCAGCUCCAUUUGCAAUUCUGGUUUCGGCUCCAUUUGGGGCUCCAGUUGCAGAUCCAGUUGCAAUUCUAGUUUGACUCCAUUUGCAGCUCUGGUUUCAGCUCCAUUUGCAGAUCGUUUUCGAUUCUGGUUUUGGCUCCAUUUGCAGCUCCAUUUCUGGCUCCGGUUGCAGAUCCAUUUGCGAUUCUGGUUUCAGCUCCAUUUUCAGCUCCAGUUUUGGCUCCAUUUGUAGCUCCAUCUGCAGCUCCAGUUUCAGCUCCAUUUUCAGCUCCGUCUGCAGCUCCGGUUGUAGAGCCAGUUGCGAUUCUGGUUUCGGCUCCGUUUGCAGCUCCACUUGCAGCUCCGGUUGCAGAUCCAUUUGCAAUUCUGGUUUCGGCUCCAUUUGCUGUUCCAGUUGCGACUCCAGUUGCAGUUCUGGUUUCGGCUCCAUUUGUGGCUCCAGUUGAAGAUCCGGUUGCAAUUCUAGUUUGACUCCAUUUGCAGCUCUGGUUUCGGCUCCAUUUGCAGAUCGUUUUCGACUCCGGUUUUGGCUCCAUUUGCAGCUCCAUUUCUGGCUCCGGUUGCAGAGCCAGUUGCGAUUCUGGUUUCGGCUCCAUUUCUGGCUCCAGUUUUGGCUCCGUUUUCAGCUCCGUCUGCAGCUCUGGUUGCAGAUCCAGUUGCAAUUCUGGUUUUGGCUCCGUUUGCGGCUCCAUUUUUGGCUCCGGUUGCAGAUCCAGUUGCAAUUCUGGUUUUGGCUCCGUUUGCGGCUCCAUUUUUGGCUCCGGUUGCAGAUCCAGUUGCAAUUCUGGUUUUGGCUCCGUUUGCGGCUCCAUUUUUGGCUCCGGUUGCAGAUCCAGUUGCAAUUCUGGUUUGGCUCCAUUUGCAGCUCCGGUUUCGGCUCCAGUUUCAGCUCCGGUUGCAGCUCCAGUUUCAGCUCCAAUUUCGGCUCCGGUUGCAGACCCGUUUGCAACUCCGAUUUCGGCUCCGUUUACAGCGCCGAUUGCGGCUCCAUCUGCAGCUCCGGUUGCAAUUCUGGUUUCGGUCCCGUUUGCAGCUCCGGUUUCGGCUCCGGUUGCCGCUCUGGGCAGAGACCUGUUUGUAGUUCUGGUUUCGGCUCCGGUUGUGGCUUCGGGCACAGACCCGUUCGCACUUGUGGUCUUGGCUCCGGUUGUGGCUCCGGUUGCGGUUCUGGUUUCGCCUCCGGUUUUGGCUCUUUGUGGCUCCGUUUCACGGCUCUGUUGGCGGCUCUGCUCGUGGCUCUGGUUUCACCCCGGUUUCACCCCAGUUUCACCCUGGUUUCACCCCAGUUUAUAAUCUGGUUUCACCCCAGUUUCACCCUGGUUUCACCCCAGUUUACAAUCUGGUUUCACCCCACUUUCACCCUGGUUUCAAGGGGUUUUGGUGCCACCCUCCGUCCCACCACGGUUGGGGCCACCUGCCUGCCCCCCGCGGUGGCCCCGGCGC